AGGGCACCACCAGAUAUGGAGCCUGCGGCUUAAUUUGACUCAACACGGGGAAACUUACCCGGCCCGGACACUAGUAGGAUUGACAGAUUGAGAGCUCUUUCUUGAUUCAGUGGGUGGUGGUGCAUGGCCGUUCUUAGUUGGUGGAGCGAUUUGUCUGGUUAAUUCCGAUAACGAACGAGACUCUGGCCUACUAAAUAGACGUUAGAUCCCUUUGUGGGUCUAUCGCAGCUUCUUAGAGGGACGGGCGGCGUUCAGCCGCACGAGAUUGAGCAAUAACAGGUCUGUGAUGCCCUUAGAUGUUCUGGGCUGCACGCGCGCUACACUGAAGGAAUCAGCGUGUGUUCCCUGCCCGAAAGGACUGGGAAACCCGUUGAACCUCCUUCGUGAUGGGGAUUGGGGAUUGCAAUUAUUCCCCAUGAACGAGGAAUUCCCAGUAGGCGCGAGUCAUAAGCUUGCGUCGAUUACGUCCCUGCCCUUUGUACACACCGCCCGUCGCUACUACCGAUCGAGUGAUUUAGU
rnacentral:rRNA from 1 species